rnacentral:rRNA from 1 species
CCUACGGGUGGCUGCAGUGGGGAAUAUUGGACAAUGGGGGCAACCCUGAUCCAGCCAUGCCGCGUGAGUGAUGAAGGCCUUCGGGUUGUAAAGCUCUUUUGGCGGGGACGAUGAUGACGGUACCCGCAGAAUAAGCCCCGGCUAACUUCGUGCCAGCAGCCGCGGUAAGACGAAGGGGGCUAGCGUUGUUCGGAAUUACUGGGCGUAAAGCGAGUGUAGGUGGUUGUCAUAGUCAGGUGUGAAAGCCUUGAGCUCAACUCAAGAAAUGCACUUGAUACUGGGCGACUAGAGGACCGGAGAGGAUAGUGGAAUUCCCAGUGUAGUGGUGAAAUACGUAGAGAUUGGGAAGAACACCAGUGGCGAAGGCGGCUAUCUGGACGGUUACUGACACUAAGACUCGAAAGCGUGGGGAGCAAACAGGAUUAGAUACCCCGGUAGUC